UACGAAGGGGGCUAGCGUUACUCGGAAUUACUGGGCGUAAAGGGCGCGUAGGCGGCUCAUCAAGUCGGGCGUGAAAUUCCUGGGCUCAACCUGGGGACUGCGCUCGAGACUGGCGGGCUAGAGGAUGGAAGAGGGUCGUGGAAUUCCCAGUGUAGAGGUGAAAUUCGUAGAUAUUGGGAAGAACACCGGUGGCGAAGGCGGCGACCUGGUCCAUUACUGACGCUGAGGCGCGACAGCGUGGGGAGCAAAC
rnacentral:rRNA from 1 species